ensembl:lncRNA
CUCCACUCCCUGCCAGCCGUCCUCCAGCUUCUCCUGAGCACUUCCAUUGAAUCCCAAUCAUCUUCUAUGAAAUCAGGGAGCACAUUUCAACUGCAGCAUCUUCCACCUUUAGUCUCAGCCUAAAAGGACCUGGUUUAAGAUCUGCACCAUAUGCUGGCACCAACAGCAGCAGAAAACGUGCUCAUUCUUCUGACCCAAGCAAGAGGGGCCCAAUCUCCUGGAGAAAGUUUUCAAGCUUCAAAGAAGACAGGCGCUUGCAAGGGACAACACUAGAAACACCCCCAGCUGCCUGUCAGAGUGGCCUGGGAGCCCUUUGGUGUCUCCCAGCAGGAGCUCCGGAGAGCAGGGCAUCCUCAGCAGGAGCCUCUUUCUUCCAGUUACUGUAAGCCACUUUUAGAAGUGUCCUAUCCACUCCUAAUGUUCAGUUGUGGGGUUCUGACAGCUGAUGGGAGCCCACACAUCUGAGCGCAGAUGGCUUGUAAAGAAGGCUUUGCUGAGUUCUGAUUGGUUGAUUUCCGUUGUGACCCAGUUGAUCCCAACAUCUCUGCACCGCCCGUUCACAGAUUGCAGGCCAAGAGGGAGUUUACUCUGGUCUGGCAUGAGUCCUGCGGUCCAGAGAGGACCUGGCAUGUAGCAGGACUUAGACAGUCACCAAGUUCUGAUGAUAGUAGAGCCACCUCUGCAUGCCAGUGUGAGGUGCCCCCAGAGGGCUGAGCUGGAUCCCUCCAAGUUUGCAUACUCUGAACAACAACAAGAAAUUAUCAGAGAGUUCUUAGGAUCGCCAUCCUGUCCAAGCCACUCCUGCACUUAUACUCAAAGGGAUGGCAUGAUAAAAAUCUGGGAAGAUAUCUGCAAAGAAGAAGAUUGCCAAUUACAGGACAGAAACCUUUCACUUCAAGCCCAACAGGUGCAGUUAAAGCCGACCCCAGCCUCACGAAGCAGAAGUCAAAUGUCCUAAUUCCUUUGUUGGGUCUGCUUCCUUGGCAAUGGGUUUUUUAGGGGGAAGAUCAAAUCUUUCAAAACAUGACGUCCAUGCAGACAGAAACAGUAAAAGAAGUUCGUGGUGGUGAAAAGUUUGCAAACUACUGGCCUCAUCCAGCGCUCUCACUUUACAACCCAGAAAAGGAGGCUGAGGUGGAGAGACUUGCCUGGUCACGUGGCAAGCCAGUGGCAGAGAGAGGCAGGAGCACGCUGUACCCAGAGGGAAGGAGACUAAAGCAGAUCCCCAAGAGAAGGAAAAGCUGGAGACCAGCGACACCCACUGCUCAGACUGUGAUGAGAAGCGCAACUGUUCCAGGCAAAGGAUCUCAGGACAGGAGCUCGGGGGACAGUGGGGAUGACUGACAAGAGGUGGCUGAAGGAAAGUACACUGGACAAGAAUGAAAGAUAAAGAUGGCUUCUGUAUCCUGGAGGCAAGGCUUCCCUUAUCAAAGGGGAAUUGAGAAUGUAAGAGACUUCUCCAUUGGUUUGUGAUGGCAAAUCAUUGACUCUGUGAGGCAGGGUGAGUAAGCAUGCGGUUUGGUAGAAACUCAGGAAAGACGAAGGGAAAUAAAGGCAAAGCUGCAGAAUGACCACCAAUUGUGUAGGGGACACACUUUCCUCUUGAGAUUUCCCAUAGUACCUAACACCUGCCUCCAUUACUCGCUUAGUAAUAACAAACACUUAUACAUAGUGUUUACUCUAUUCCAGG